rnacentral:rRNA from 1 species
UAUUGGACAAUGGGCGCAAGCCUGAUCCAGCCAUGCCGCGUGAGUGAUGAAGGCCCUAGGGUUGUAAAGCUCUUUCACCGGUGAAGAUAAUGACGGUAACCGGAGAAGAAGCCCCGGCUAACUUCGUGCCAGCAGCCGCGGUAAUACGAAGGGGGCUAGCGUUGUUCGGAUUUACUGGGCGUAAAGCGCACGUAGGCGGACUUUUAAGUCAGGGGUGAAAUCCCAGAGCUCAACUCUGGAACUGCCUUUGAUACUGGAAGUCUUGAGUAUGGUAGAGGUGAGUGGAAUUCCGAGUGUAGAGGUGAAAUUCGUAGAUAUUCGGAGGAACACCAGUGGCGAAGGCGGCUCACUGGACCAUUACUGACGCUGAGGUGCGAAAGCGUGGGGAGCAAACAG